rnacentral:rRNA from 1 species
UGGAUCCAGACUUUGAUCCUGGCUCAGGAUGAACGCUGGCGGCGUGCCUAAUACAUGCAAGUCGAACGAAACUUCUUUAUCACCGAGUGCUUGCACUCACCGAUAAAGAGUUGAGUGGCGAACGGGUGAGUAACACGUGGGCAACCUGCCCAAAAGAGGGGGAUAACACUUGGAAACAGGUGCUAAUACCGCAUAACCAUAGUUACCGCAUGGCAACUAUGUAAAAGGUGGCUAUGCUACCGCUUUUGGAUGGGCCCGCGGCGCAUUAGCUAGUUGGUGGGGUAAAGGCUUACCAAGGCAAUGAUGCGUAGCCGAACUGAGAGGUUGAUCGGCCACAUUGGGACUGAGACACGGCCCAAACUCCUACGGGAGGCAGCAGUAGGGAAUCUUCCACAAUGGGCGAAAGCCUGAUGGAGCAACGCCGCGUGGGUGAAGAAGGUCUUCGGAUCGUAAAACCCUGUUGUUAGAGAAGAAAGUGCGUGAGAGUAACUGUUCACGUUUCGACGGUAUCUAACCAGAAAGCCACGGCUAACUACGUGCCAGCAGCCGCGGUAAUACGUAGGUGGCAAGCGUUAUCCGGAUUUAUUGGGCGUAAAGGGAACGCAGGCGGUCUUUUAAGUCUGAUGUGAAAGCCUUCGGCUUAGCCGGAGUAGUGCAUUGGAAACUGGGAGACUUGAGUGCAGAAGAGGAGAGUGGAACUCCAUGUGUAGCGGUGAAAUGCGUAGAUAUAUGGAAGAACACCAGUGGCGAAAGCGGCUCUCUGGUCUGUAACUGACGCUGAGGUUCGAAAGCGUGGGUAGCAAACAGGAUUAGAUACCCUGGUAGUCCACGCCGUAAACGAUGAAUGCUAAGUGUUGGAGGGUUUCCGCCCUUCAGUGCUGCAGCUAACGCAAUAAGCAUUCCGCCUGGGGAGUACGACCGCAAGGUUGCAACUCAAAUGAAUUGACGGA